AUUGAACGCUGGCGGCAGGCUUAACACAUGCAAGUCGAGCGAGCGGCGGACGGGUGAGUAAUGUCUGGGAAACUGCCUGAUGGAGGGGGAUAACUACUGGAAACGGUAGCUAAUACCGCAUACCAUCAGAUGUGCCCAGAUGGGAUUAGCUAGUUGGUGGGGUAAUGGCUCACCAAGGCGACGAUCCCUAGCUGGUCUGAGAGGAUGACCAGCCACACUGGGACUGAGACACGGUCCAGAAUCCUACGGGAGGCAGCAGUGGGGAAUAUUGGACAAUGGGCGAAAGCCUGAUGCAGCCAUGCCGCGUGUGUGAAGAAGGCCUUCGGGUUGUAAAGUACUUUCAGCGGGGAGGCGUUACUCGCAGAAUAAGCACCGGCUAACUCCGUGCCAGCAGCCGCGGUAAUUC
rnacentral:rRNA from 1 species